rnacentral:lncRNA from 10 species
AGCAGGAAGUGGCAGGGUCAGGAAAAGCUAGGCCACAAGUUUUCCCUUGAGAGCCUUAGGUAAGACACGGAGCACUUUUAAUUUAUAUAUUUAUUGUUUUCGGGGAAUUUUUUCUCUUGCUCAGAAUUACCAAUAUGGAGUCUAGCCCUGUCGCCCAGGCUGGAGUGCCAUGGUUUGAACUCUACUCACCGCAACCUCCACCUCCCAGGUUCAAAUGAUUCUCCUGCCUCAGCCUCCUGAAUAUCUGGG